GACUUGUGCUCUUCCGACCAGGUGUCUACUGCUCUGUAAUGUGGAAAGGGAACUGUUACACUAGGCUAGGAGAUGCCCUAAGAAGCCAUGGCAGCUCCUUCUGUGAGCAUUGAUAAAAGAGCAGAAACCAGACCUCCAGGGAGAAAGCUCUGGAAAGUGUUGCCUGCUAUCAGAGUAGGAAAGAACUUUGCAAAGCCUGGAAAGGAGCGAGGGCAAAGGAGCUAGAGACCGGUCGUGGUAGGAAGGAGUCCAGGUAAACUGCAAGGACUCUGAACUAGUCUUGGCUGCUUGCUAUGGGGUCCUUGGACUGCAUGAGGUGUAAACAGAGGGCCUGGGUUCCCCUCUCCACCACUGGAGGAAGUGGUAUCAGACCCCUAACAGAAGAGGGUAAGAAUUACUAUCCUCUGAGGCAAGAGGAUGUAAGGACCACUUGGCCCAGAAUCGGGGGCUGAAGACCAGGUCAUUGGACUACUUGGUGGUGGGACUGCUGUUACCCUGGCAGGGUUGGGAGUGACUGGGAGCUGGCUGGAGGGCCGAGUCACAAGAAGAUGCAGACCACUGCUGGCCCCAAGUGGCUGUCAGCAGUGGGGGCCGCAAGAGGAGAGCCUGCUAUGCUGUACCCAGCUUCCUGACAGAAACCAACAGCCAUAGCGAUAUUCAGCUAUAUGGCAUGAAGGUGGGUGUCCAUCUGCGUGUGGAGGAAUGCAUUGCAAGCUUCCGAUCUCAUCCGGACAAGUGAGGUGUCAAUCAAAUUUUAUUAGGUUGUGGAUGCUCAUGCCAUCAGAAGAAUUUGGUUGAGAGCCAGAUCCCCAGAAGGUAUAAAUCAAGCUCCAUUCAACUCAAUGGAGCUACACCGAUACUCGCUAGAUGAGGCUCUGGCCCUAUAAUUUGUAAAGAAUUUUAACUGGUUACAGGAUGCAACUGAUUUAAGAGGGAGGACAGAGGAGGGAAGGAUGCUGUGUAGCCGAUUUCACUUUGAUGCACGCAUUUGCAGCAUUAGGUAUACCCUGAGUAAUGAGCUAGUCUUCCUUGAAACAGAAAGGGGAAGCAUGCCACCAACACCUUCCCCAUAAAACUCCUGCUGGAAAUAAAGGAACAGGUCAGGGGAGCGCUCACAACCAGCUUCCCCAAUGAUUGUUUGUGGCUGGGCUGACAACUCCGGGGGGAGGAGUGGAGAGGUGUGUUUUUUUUGUUUUUUGUUUUUCCUACGCAAAACCAAAAACCACACCCACUUUGUUUGGGUGGAACGAAAUGUGUUCAACCAUGGUUCAAAACCACGUUUUGUUUUGAAAAUCUAGUUUUGAAAGGGAAUGUCAGAACAAAUCAUUGACAUGUCUGAGUUGUUUUUCCAAUUGUUUUCGAUGAAUUUGCAAACAGUGUUGGUGCAUUUUUUCAGUGAAUUUCAUUUUCGGCAACAACAACAAAAAGUCACCCGGCUCUGUUCCUCCCAAACAGCUCUGCCACUGCUCCUGGGACUAUGCGCCACCUUAUGUGUCUCUUGUUUUC